UCCCCACAACCAGACCACAUCUGCCCAUACUGAAGCUGGUGAUGGAGCAGGUGAAGCUGCUGUGGCUACCACCCCAACACCAAAUCCCCCAACUACAUCUGACCACACUGCAGCUACCGAUGAUUCAAGUGAGAGUGCUGUGGCUGCCCAAA